GGAGUUAGCCGGUGCUUCUUCUGUGAGUGAUGUCCUUCCUGCCGGUUAUUGACCCGCAGGCCUUCUUCCUCACUGAAAGUGCUUUACAACCCGAAGGCCUUCUUCACACACGCGGCAUGGCUGGAUCAGGGUUGCCCCCAUUGUCCAAUAUUCCCCACUGCUGCCUCCCGUAGGAGUCUGGGCCGUGUCUCAGUCCCAGUGUGGCUGAUCAUCCUCUCAGACCAGCUACGGAUCGUCGCCUUGGUGAGCCGUUACCUCACCAACCAGCUAAUCCGACAUAGGCUCAUCCGAUAGCGCGAGGCCCGAAGGUCCCCCGCUUUCCCCCGUAGGGCGUAUGCGGUAUUAGCCUGGGUUUACCCCAGGUUAUCCCCCACUACCGGGCAGAUUCCUAUGCAUUACUCACCCGUCCGCCGCUCGCCACCAGGGAGCAAGCUCCCCGUGCUGCCGCUCGACUUGCAUGUGUUAGGCCUGCCGCCAGCGUUCAAUCUGAGCCAUAAUCAAACUCUGA
rnacentral:rRNA from 1 species